rnacentral:rRNA from 1 species
UACGUAGGGAGCAAGCGUUGUCCGGAAUCAUUGGGCGUAAAGAGCGCGUAGGCGGUCCGGUAAGUCGGUUGUGAAAACUGGGGGCUCAACCCUCAGAGGCCGACCGAUACUGCCGGGCUAGAGUCCGGAAGAGGCGAGUGGAAUUCCUGGUGUAGCGGUGAAAUGCGCAGAUAUCAGGAGGAACACCAAUGGCGAAGGCAGCUCGCUGGGACGGUACUGACGCUGAGGCGCGAAAGCGUGGGGGGCAAACAGG